rnacentral:rRNA from 1 species
UACGGAGGGGGCGAGCGUUAUUCGGAAUUAUUGGGCGUAAAGGGCGCGUAGGCGGCUGUACAAGUCAAAGGUGAAAUCCCUCGGCUCAACUGAGGAACUGCCUUUGAAAACUGUACGGCUUGAGGCCGGGAGGGGGUAGCGGAAUUCCCAAUGUAGCGGUGAAAUGCGUAGAUAUUGGGAGGAACACCAGUGGCGAAGGCGGCUACCUGGACCGGUUCUGACGCUGAGGCGCGAAAGCGUGGGUAGCAAACAGG